rnacentral:rRNA from 1 species
UACGUAGGUGGCGAGCGUUGUCCGGAUUUACUGGGCGUAAAGGGAGCGUAGGCGGACUUUUAAGUGAGAUGUGAAAUACUCGGGCUCAACUUGAGUGCUGCAUUUCAAACUGGAAGUCUAGAGUGCAGGAGAGGAGAAUGGAAUUCCUAGUGUAGCGGUGGAAUGCGUAGAUAUAUGGAGGAACACCGGUGGCGAAAGCGGCUCUCUGGCCUGUAACUGACACUGAGGCUCGAAAGCGUGGGGAGCAAACAGG